rnacentral:tRNA from 1 species
GGAGGGGUGCCAGAGCGGUUGAAUGGGCCGGUCUCGAAAACCGGUAUAUCCCUUGCGGGGUAUCGCGGGUUCGAAUCCCGCCCCCUCCGCCA